AUUGAACGCUGGCGGCAGGCCUAACACAUGCAAGUCGAGCGAGCGGCGGACGGGUGAGUAAUGUAUGGGGACUGCCCGCUAGAGGGGGAUAACUACUGGAAACGGUAGCUAAUACCGCAUACUAUCGGAUAACCCAUAUGGGAUUAGCUAGUAGGUGAGGUAAUGGGUCACCUAGGCAACGAUCCCUAGCUGGUCUGAGAGGAUGAUCAGCCACACUGGGACUGAGACACGGACCAGACUCGUACGGAGGCAGCAGUGGGGAAUAUUGAAAAAUGGGCGAAAGCCUGAUGCAGCCAUGCCGCGUGUAGGAAGAAGGCCCUAGGGUUGUAAAGUACUUUCAGUCGGGAGGCGUUACCGACAGAAGAAGCACCGGCUAACUCCGUGGCAGCAGCCGCGGUAAUUC
rnacentral:rRNA from 1 species